rnacentral:rRNA from 1 species
GCGGCGUGCUUAACACAUGCAAGUCGAACGGAAAGGCCCUGCUUUUGUGGGGUGCUCGAGUGGCGAACGGGUGAGUAACACGUGAGUAACCUGCCCUUGACUUUGGGAUAACUUCAGGAAACUGGGGCUAAUACCGGAUAGGAGCUCCUGCUGCAUGGUGGGGGUUGGAAAGUUUCGGCGGUUGGGGAUGGACUCGCGGCUUAUCAGCUUGUUGGUGGGGUAGUGGCUUACCAAGGCUUUGACGGGUAGCCGGCCUGAGAGGGUGACCGGCCACAUUGGGACUGAGAUACGGCCCAGACUCCUACGGGAGGCAGCAGUGGGGAAUAUUGCACAAUGGGCGGAAGCCUGAUGCAGCAACGCCGCGUGCGGGAUGACGGCCUUCGGGUUGUAAACCGCUUUCGCCUGUGACGAAGCGUGAGUGACGGUAAUGGGUAAAGAAGCACCGGCUAACUACGUGCCAGCAGCCGCGGUGAUACGUAGGGUGCGAGCGUUGUCCGGAUUUAUUGGGCGUAAAGGGCUCGUAGGUGGUUGAUCGCGUCGGAAGUGUAAUCUUGGGGCUUAACCCUGAGCGUGCUUUCGAUACGGGUUGACUUGAGGAAGGUAGGGGAGAAUGGAAUUCCUGGUGGAGCGGUGGAAUGCGCAGAUAUCAGGAGGAACACCAGUGGCGAAGGCGGUUCUCUGGGUCUUUCCUGACGCUGAGGAGCGAAAGCGUGGGGAGCGAACAGGCUUAGAUACCCUGGUAGUCCACGCUGUAAACGGUGGGUACUAGGUGUGGGGGUCCAUUCCCACGGGGUUCCGUGCCGUAGCUAACGCUUUAAGUACCCCGCCUGGGGAGUACGGCCGCAAGGCUAAAACUCAAAGGAAUUGACGGGGCCCCGCACAAGCGGCGGAGCAUGCGGAUUAAUUCGAUGCAACGCGUAGAACCUUACCUGGGUUUGACAUGGAUCGGGAGUGCUCAGAGAUGGGUGUGCCUCUUUUGGGGUCGGUUCACAGGUGGUGCAUGGCUGUCGUCAGCUCGUGUCGUGAGAUGUUGGGUUAAGUCCCGCAACGAGCGCAACCCUUGUUCACUGUUGCCAGCACGUUAUGGUGGGGACUCAGUGGAGACCGCCGGGGUCAACUCGGAGGAAGGUGGGGAUGACGUCAAGUCAUCAUGCCCCUUAUGUCCAGGGCUUCACGCAUGCUACAAUGGCUGGUACAGAGAGUGGCGAGCCUGUGAGGGUGAGCGAAUCUCGGAAAGCCGGUCUCAGUUCGGAUUGGGGUCUGCAACUCGACCUCAUGAAGUCGGAGUCGCUAGUAAUCGCAGAUCAGCAACGCUGCGGUGAAUACGUUCCCGGGGCUUGUACACACCGCCCGUCAAGUCAUGAAAGUUGGUAACACCCGAAGCCGGUGGCCUAACCGUUGUGGGGGAGCCGUCGAAGGUGGGACUGGUGAUUAGGACUA